GAGAAAGUUAGCGAGAACUGCUAACUCACGCAACCGUGAUUAAAUCACACGGCUUUCUC
rnacentral:tRNA from 2 species